AAAGUUAUGGUUAAGUGGUAAACGAUGUGGGAAGGCUUAGACAGCUAGGAGGUUGGCUUAGAAGCAGCCACCCUUUAAAGAAAGCGUAAUAGCUCACUAGUCGAGUCGGCCUGCGCGGAAGAUGUAACGGGGCUCAAACCAUACACCGAAGCUACGGGUGCAUCGCAAGAUCGCGGUAGAGGAGCGUUCUGUAAGCCUGUGAAGGUGAGUUGAGAAGCUUGCUGGAGGUAUCAGAAGUGCGAAUGCUGACAUGAGUAACGACAAUGGGAGUGAAAAACUCCCACGCCGAAAGACCAAGGGUUCCUGCGCAACGUUAAUCGACGCAGGGUUAGUCGGUCCCUAAGGCGAGGCUGAAGAGCGUAGUCGAUGGGAAACAGGUUAAUAUUCCUGUACUUCUAG
rnacentral:rRNA from 1 species